rnacentral:rRNA from 1 species
AGUGAACGCUGGCGGUCGGCCUAACACAUGCAAGUCGAACGGCAGCACAGUAAGAGCUUGCUCUUACGGGUGGCGAGUGGCGGACGGGUGAGGAAUACAUCGGAAUCUACUUUUUCGUGGGGGAUAACGUGGGGAAACUUACGCUAAUACCGCAUACGACCUACGGGUGAAAGCAGGGGAUCUUCGGACCUUGCGCGAUUGAAUGAGCCGAUGUCGGAUUAGCUAGUUGGCGGGGUAAAGGCCCACCAAGGCGACGAUCCGUAGCUGGUCUGAGAGGAUGAUCAGCCACACUGGAACUGAGACACGGUCCAGACUCCUACGGGAGGCAGCAGUGGGGAAUAUUGGACAAUGGGCGCAAGCCUGAUCCAGCCAUACCGCGUGGGUGAAGAAGGCCUUCGGGUUGUAAAGCCCUUUUGUUGGGAAAGAAAAGCAGCAGGUUAAUACCCCGCUGUUCUGACGGUACCCAAAGAAUAAGCACCGGCUAACUUCGUG